GACAGAGGGUGCGAACGUUGCUCGGAAUCACUGGGCGUAAAGCGCGCGUAGGCGGAUAGGAAAGUCGGUUGUGAAAUCCCUGGGCUCAACCCAGGAACUGCAUCCGAAACUCCCUGUCUCGAGUGACGGAGAGGAUAGUGGAAUUCCCGGUGUAGAGGUGAAAUUCGUAGAUAUCGGGAGGAACACCAGUGGCGAAGGCGGCUAUCUGGACGUCUACUGACGCUGAGGCGCGAAAGCGUGGGGAGCAAAC
rnacentral:rRNA from 1 species